GACGAACGCUGGCGGCGUGCUUAACACAUGCAAGUCGAACGGAAAGGCCCUGCUUUUGUGGGGUGCUCGAGUGGCGAACGGGUGAGUAACACGUGAGUAACCUGCCCUUGACUUUGGGAUAACUUCAGGAAACUGGGGCUAAUACCGGAUAGGAGCUCCUGCUGCAUGGUGGGGGUUGGAAAGUUUCGGCGGUUGGGGAUGGACUCGCGGCUUAUCAGCUUGUUGGUGGGGUAGUGGCUUACCAAGGCUUUGACGGGUAGCCGGCCUGAGAGGGUGACCGGCCACAUUGGGACUGAGAUACGGCCCAGACUCCUACGGGAGGCAGCAGUGGGGAAUAUUGCACAGUGGGCGGAAGCCUGAUGCAGCAACGCCGCGUGCGGGAUGACGGCCUUCGGGUUGUAAACCGCUUGCGCCUGUGACGAAGCGUGAGUGACGGUAAUGGGUAAAGAAGCACCGGCUAACUACGUG
rnacentral:rRNA from 1 species